AAAAGCCAUGUUGGAUCAGACCAACAGAGCAGUCUGAGUAUGGCCACACAGAUGGCAACAGGAAGCCCACAACCAAGACAGGAAGAAGAUCCUGUGAUUUGGCCAUUAUACUCUGCUGUCUCCAUUUUCAGGAUGUAAGGGAUGAUGCUGUCAAUUGGAACAUUUCCAAUGAGCCCAGUAAAAAACAGUUCUUCUGUAAUGCUAGAACUCAUCAGUCUAAGUGCUGGCAGGCGAACAAGAAUCCGCGCUAACCUGAAAUAAGAAAGUGUGUGAGAAUAUUUGCUAAGAAAGGGCUCAUGAAGAGGCAGCUGCCUUGAUAAUAGUGGAUACCAAUAGUGGAUAAAGAUCUAAGCAAGAUUUUCAAAAAAUGCCCUUGGAAACAGAAAAGAAAGCUUAACGGAUUUACGCUCUUAUGUGUUGUCAGGUUUGGCAGUUUGAACCGUUUUCCAAAUAAAAUAUAGUAUAUAAUGGC